rnacentral:rRNA from 1 species
UACGGGGGGGGCAAGCGUUGUUCGGAAUUACUGGGCGUAAAGGGUGCGUAGGUGGUUGGGUAAGUUUGAUGUGAAAGCUCAGGGCUUAACCCUGAAAUGGCAUUGAAUACUACUUAACUGGAGGUUUGGAGGGGGGACUGGAAUUCUUGGUGUAGCAGUGAAAUGCGUAGAUAUCAAGAGGAACACCAGUGGCGAAGGCGAGUCCCUGGACAACACCUGACACUGAGGCACGAAAGCUAGGGGAGCAAACAGG